GGUCAGUUAGCUCAGUCGGUUGAGCAUGGCGCUGACAAAGCCAAGGCCGUGGGUUCGAUUCCCGUUCGGUCCC
rnacentral:tRNA from 1 species